UACCACACAACUGCCCUUCUCCCACUCUAUUCUCCAAGAAUCGAUCUCGCAUCAGUUCAAGAUGCCAUUGGUAGAGCCGUACAAUGGCUCUACCAAUCCACUGGAUCACCUAAAGGGCUACGAGGCUCUCAUGAUGCUUCAGGAUGCCUUAGAUGCUAUGCUCUGCCUUGCCUUCCUAGCAACAUUGAAGAAAGUGGUGA
rnacentral:lncRNA from 1 species